rnacentral:misc_RNA from 1 species
UCCGGUUUGUCACCGGCAGUCUCAUUAGAGUGCCCAACUGAAUGUAGCAACUAGUGACAAGGGUUGCGCUCGUUGCGGGACUUAACCCAACAUCUCACGACACGAGCUGACGACAGCCAUGCAGCACCUGUGUUACGGCUCCCUUUCGGGCACCCCCGCAUUUCUGCGGGGUUCCGUACAUGUCAAGGGUAGGUAAGGUUUUUCGCGUUGCAUCGAAUUAAUCCACAUAAUCCACCGCUUGUGCGGGUCCCCGUCAAUUCCUUUGAGUUUUAACCUUGCGGCCGUACUCCCCAGGCGGUCAACUUCACGCGUUAGCUUCGUUACCAAGGAAUUGCUUCCCUAACAACUAGUUGACAUCGUUUAGGGCGUGGACUAC